rnacentral:rRNA from 1 species
GAUGAACGCUGGCGGCGUGCCUAAUACAUGCAAGUCGAGCGAAUGGAUUAAGAGCUUGCUCUUAUGAAGUUAGCGGCGGACGGGUGAGUAACACGUGGGUAACCUGCCCAUAAGACUGGGAUAACUCCGGGAAACCGGGGCUAAUACCGGAUAACAUUUUGAACCGCAUGGUUCGAAAUUGAAAGGCGGCUUCGGCUGUCACUUAUGGAUGGACCCGCGUCGCAUUAGCUAGUUGGUGAGGUAACGGCUCACCAAGGCAACGAUGCGUAGCCGACCUGAGAGGGGGAUAGGCCACCCUGGGACUGAGACACGGCCCAGACUCCAACGGGAGGCAGCAGUAGGGAAUCUUCCGCAAUGGACGAAAGUCUGACGGAGCAACGCCGCGUGAGUGAUGAAGGCUUUCGGGUCGUAAAACUCUGUUGUUAGGGAAGAACAAGUGCUAGUUGAAUAAGCUGGCACCUUGACGGUACCUAACCAGAAAGCCACGGCUAACUACGUGCCAGCCGCCGCAGUAA